UGGGGAAUAUUGCACAAUGGGCGCAAGCCUGAUGCAGCGACGCCGCGUGGGGGAUGACGGCCUUCGGGUUGUAAACCUCUUUCAGCAGGGACGAAGCGAAAGUGACGGUACCUGCAGAAGAAGCACCGGCCAACUACGUGCCAGCAGCCGCGGUAAUACGUAGGGUGCGAGCGUUGUCCGGAAUUACUGGGCGUAAAGAGCUCGUAGGUGGUUUGUCGCGUUGUUCGUGAAAACCGGGGGCUUAACCCUCGGCGUGCGGGCGAUACGGGCAGACUAGAGUACGGCAGGGGAGACUGGAAUUCCUGGUGUAGCGGUGGAAUGCGCAGAUAUCAGGAGGAACACCGGUGGCGAAGGCGGGUCUCUGGGCAGUAACUGACGCUGAGGAGCGAAAGCGUGGGGAGCGAACA
rnacentral:rRNA from 1 species